rnacentral:rRNA from 1 species
GACGGAGGGGGCUAGCGUUGUUCGGAAUUACUGGGCGUAAAGAGCGCGUAGGCGGAUUAGUAAGUUGGAAGUGAAAGCCCGGGGCUUAACCUCGGAAUAGCUUUCAAAACUACUAGUCUUGAGUGUAGUAGGGGAUGAUGGAAUUCCUAGUGUAGAGGUGAAAUUCUUAGAUAUUAGGAGGAACACCGGUGGCGAAGGCGGUCAUCUGGGCUACAACUGACGCUAAGGCGCGAAGGCGUGGGGAGCAAACAGG